GUAAAUAUCAAAGUUUGGAACUGCGAAUGGCUCAUUAUAUCAGUUAUAGUUUAUUUGGUGAAGUGUACUACUUGGAUAACCGUAGUAAUUCUAGGGCUAAUACAUGAGAAAGUCCUCUGGUGAGGUGUGUUUAUUAGAAUGAAAACCAUAUGCUUCGGCAUGAUAGUGAGUAAUAGUAACCUAUCGUAUCGCAUGCUUAAUGUAGCGAUGAGUCUUUCAAGUUUCUGCCCUAUCAGCU
rnacentral:rRNA from 1 species